UCAACGCUGGCGGCGUGCCUAACACAUGCAAGUCGAACGCGAAAGUCCCGCAAGGGAUUAGUAGAGUGGCAAACGGGUGAGUAACACGUGGGUGACCUGCCUUCGAGUGGGGGAUAACGUCCCGAAAGGGACGCUAAUACCGCAUAACAUCCUGCCUUUGAAGAGGUGGAGAUCAAAGCUGGGGACCGUAAGGCCUGGCGCUGGAAGAGGGGCCCGCGUCUGAUUAGCUAGUUGGUGAGGUAACGGCUCGCCAAGGCAUCGAUCAGUAUCCGGCCUGAGAGGGCGGACGGACACACUGGGACUGAGACACGGCCCAGACUCCUACGGGAGGCAGCAGUGGGGAAUUGUUCGCAAUGGGCGCAAGCCUGACGACGCAACGCCGCGUGGAGGAUGAAGACCUUCGGGUCGUAAACUCCUUUCGAUCGAGACGAACGGCCUUGGGGUUAACAACCUCGAGGAGUGACGGUACCGAGAGAAGAAGCCCCGGCUAACUCCGUGCCAGCAGCCGCGGUAAUACGGGGGGGGCAAGCGUUGUUCGGAAUUACUGGGCGUAAAGGGCUCGUAGGUGGCCAACUAAGUCAGACGUGAAAUCCCUCGGCUUAACCGGGGAACUGCGUCUGAUACUGGAUGGCUUGAGUUCGGGAGAGGGAUGCGGAAUUCCAGGUGUAGCGGUGAAAUGCGUAGAUAUCUGGAGGAACACUGGUGGCGAAGGCAGCAUCCUGGACCAACACUGACA
rnacentral:rRNA from 1 species